UACAGAGGUCUAAAGCGUUGUUCGGAUUCAUUGGGCGUAAAGGGUGCGUAGGCGGCGCGGUAAGUCGGGUGUGAAAUCUCGGGGCUUAACUCCGAAACUGCAUUCGAUACUGCCGUGCUUGAGGACUGGAGAGGAGACUGGAAUUUACGGUGUAGCGGUGAAAUGCGUAGAUAUCGUAAGGAAGACCAGUGGCGAAGGCGGGUCUCUGGACAGUUCCUGACGCUGAGGCACGAAGGCCAGGGGAGCAAACGGG
rnacentral:rRNA from 1 species